UACAGAGGGGGCAAGCGUUGUUCGGAAUUACUGGGCGUAAAGGGCGCGUAGGCGGCCUUCUAAGUCGAACGUGAAAUCCCCGGGCUCAACCCGGGAACUGCGUCCGAUACUGGAUGGCUUGAAUCCGGGAGAGGGAUGCAGAAUUCCAGGUGUAGCGGUGAAAUGCGUAGAUAUCUGGAGGAAUACCGGUGGCGAAGGCGGCAUCCUGGACCGGCAUUGACGCUGAGGAGCGAAAGCCAGGGGAGCAAACGGG
rnacentral:rRNA from 1 species